GACGAACGCUGGCGGCGUGCUUAACACAUGCAAGUCGAACGGAAAUGCCCUGCUUUUGUGGGGUGCUCGAGUGGCGAACGGGUGAGUAACACGUGAGUAACCUGCCCUUGACUUUGGGAUAACUUCAGGAAACUGGGGCUAAUACCGGAUAGGAGCUCCUGCUGCAUGGUGGGGGUUGGAAAGUUUCGGCGGUUGGGGAUGGACUCGCGGCUUAUCAGCUUGUUGGUGGGGUAGUGGCUUACCAAGGCUUUGACGGGUAGCCGGCCCGGGAGGGUGACCGGCCACAUUGGGACUGAGAUACGGCCCAGACUCCUACGGGAGGCAGCAGUGGGGAAUAUUGCACAAUGGGCGGAAGCCUGAUGCAGCAACGCCGCGUGUGGGAUGACGGCCUUCGGGUUGUAAACCGCUUUCGCCUGUGACGAAGCGUGAGUGACGGUAAUGGGUAAAGAAGCACCGGCUAACUACGU
rnacentral:rRNA from 1 species